rnacentral:lncRNA from 1 species
UUCCAACUUCGAUAUUGUUUUCGAUAAAAUUUAUUUCCUGCUUCGAUAUUGUUUUCGAUCCAAUUUGUUUCCAAGUUUAAAGCCCUACCAACCAUUGUUUAAACAUACAAGUUCCAUAAGACGAUAGUUACAGACAAACAAGUCAUACUAGUCAUAAGUUAUAGAACACAACAAUGAUGGUGCUAGUGAAGUGUAGAAAGAAGACUCAGACACACUCCUUAUCCUUCAAGUUUUGCCCUUCCUAUUCAUCCAUCUGUAUGUAGGAGGAUACCAAUAGGUGGUUAUGUGAUGUAGGCCUUUUGACUUACCUCUUCAGUCUGUAGAAGUCGUUCUCCUCUUUCUUUGUCUGUUGCAAUAGAAGGUUGUGAUGCAGAUAUUUCGACCUUCCUGUUUCCCGUUUCUAUAAUUCACAAUUAAGAAAGGAGAAGAGUCAUGAAACAAAAACUAAAGCUACUAGUCCGUACCACAAUCGUUUGUUGGUGAUGUUGUGUGAAUUCUUCUUCCUUUUAUGGAUAGCAGAGAAACUGUUAUAUAAGCUCGAAACUCUAAAAGCAGCCAAAUCCCCAACAAAGAGAGGGAAAUAAACAAGUGUCGAAAUCAAUCAAAACAAAAAAUCCAUCAAACCCCUAAAAUUUCAUAUUUCCCCAAAUUUAAAUGCUAAAGGAUUGAACUACAUAUCUAUACAAAAGUAGAAGAACAACAAGUACAGAAGAUGUGGAGGACUAUCCUUCACAUCGGAAGACCUAAACUUUAAUCAGCGAAGGGACUAAUGGGGGAUUUGACCUAAUUUUUUGAAAUAGAGAGAAAAUGAUGGGGAAGCCAUACUUACUGUUGUAGGCGUUGAUGGCGAUGGCGAGUGGAGAGGAUGGGGUGAACUGAGGCGAUGGUCAACGGGAGCUUCACCACUAGAUACAGACACUGACGGCUUUACAGUCAUGAAGAUGAAAUCAGCCAUCACAUAUAAACCCUAGAUCGAGCCGAAGAAGACGAAACCAAAAAAAAAUUGGACACGUUAACUAGAUUUUGCCGAUUGCCAAGGAUGUUGUCGAUGGCACAGGAAACCGAUUGAAGUAGCUCGUCAGGCAGGGGCUGGAGGAAGCCGAUUGAAGAUGCUCCUCAGGCAGAUGUUGGUGGCCGUCGGAGAUGGGAGAUCGAGCGGCGCGAUAAAGUGUGAAGAGGCUACUGCUAUUUCUAUUUUGCAAAUUCG